AUGGUGGUCGUCGUAUUGUUUGGCUGUUAAAACCCUCUGCCAACCUCAUCUCUCAGGUAUAGUUUCUGGGUUUGAGUUUUUAUUGAUUUGAGAUGGACUUUGAAUUGGGUUUUCCUGAGGAGACCAAUCUUGUAUCUUUCUUAGUACUGCUAAUAUCUACUAAUACUACUGCAUCUAACAAUAUUGAAUCGCUGCAUGAAGUACCACUUGAAAGGAGCUUUCUGUUAGAUUUAUUU
rnacentral:lncRNA from 1 species